CCCUUAGAUGUUCUGGGCCGCACGCGUGCUACACUGAUGCAUUCAACGAGUCUAAAACCUGGUCUGAUAGGGCUGGGUAAUCUUUUGAAAGUGCAUCGUGAUUGGGAUAGAUGAUUGCAAUUCUUCAUCUUCAACGAGGAAUGCCUAGUAAACGCAAGUCAUCAGCUUGCAUUGAUUACGUCCCUGCCCUUUGUACACACCGCCCGUCGCUGCAACUGAUUGGGUGACCUGGUGAACAUCUUGGACCGGCCCACCCAAUUUCGAGAGGACUGGAAAAGGCCGUAAAUCAGGUACAUCUAGAAAUUGCAAAAGUCGUAACA
rnacentral:rRNA from 1 species